UGCUAUAAAACGCACAGUCCGAUUCCCAGCAAACUAUAGCGGCUUGUUUACAGUGACAUUAAUAUAUCAAAUAUGGAUUGUGAUCACACAAGUGAAAGACGGCUCAAAUUGGAGUACAACAACGGGACUGUCAAAUAUAUUUGUAAGAGUUGCAUUAAAAAAUAUGCACGUACAGGACAACUUCAAAAAGAAAAAGGAAGUAUGACAACUAAAUCAAAGAGAGAUGUGGAGAGAGUUCUCGAUGAAUAGCAAUAACUUUAAAAUGUACAGACAUUAAUUUGCUAAUAUAGGCUAUGUAGUUUUAAUGUUGAGUUAAACACUUGAUAAAAUUACACUA
rnacentral:lncRNA from 1 species